UUAAGUAUCCCGCCUGGGGAGUACGAUCGCAAGGUUGAAACUCAAAGGAUUUGUCGGGGGCCCGCACAAUCGGUGGAGCAUGUGGUUUAAUUCGAUGCUACGCGAAGAACCUUACCGGGGUUUGAAAUGCAGUUGCUCUCCGUUGAAAGACGGAUUUCCUUCGGGACAACUGUACAGGUGCUGCAUGGCUGUCGUCAGCUCGUUCCGUGAGGUGUUGGGUUAAGUCCCGCUACGAGCGCAACCCUUGUCCUUAGUUGCUAUCAGGUCAAGUUGAGUACUUUUAUUGGUUUUCCUCGGAUAUCGAGUUGUUAUAUUUGGUUUUUAUUUCAAGUCUUCUGGGCCUUUAUAUCCCGGGCUACACACGUGCUACAAUGGCCAGUACAACGGGAAGCGAUACCGUGAGGUGGAGCAAAUCCCUUAAAACUGGUCUCAGUUCGGAUUGUAGUCUGCAACUCGACUACAUGAAGUUGGAAUCGCUAGUAAUCGCGGAUCAGCAUGCCGCGGUGAUACGUUCCCGGGCCUUGUACACACCGCCCGUCACGCCAUGGGAGUUGAUAGCACCCGAAGUCGCCGGGCUAACCUUUCNGGGGAGGCAGGUGCCGAAGGUGAGAUCA
rnacentral:rRNA from 1 species